rnacentral:lncRNA from 1 species
UGGGAGGCUGGCGCAAACGCAGCGGGUGGCUGGGGUAGGGGCUCAUUGGGAGCCCACGGAGCGCGGCGGCGGCUCGGGGGCCGAGUUCCCUACAACAAGGAUGGCGGUGACGGGCGCAGGGAGCGGGGCCCGGCUCUCCUUGCCUCGAGGCUCCUCUGAUUCCACUCGCGUGGCUGCGCGGCCCUGGCAGCGGCCUUCGUCCCGGGGGUGGGAGCUACACAGGGUUCCGCCCCGUCCUGGCGAGGACGCCUGAGGGGGCUCUGUGGUAAGGCUCUGUCGGGCAGGCCGGGCUUCCGGGAGGACCUGGUCUGGAUCGGUCACCGCUGGGUGCCUGAGCUCCGCAUGGAGCCUGCAGCCUUUGUUUAACUGAUAAAGAAAUGGGGGCUCCGAGCAGUCAAGAAGAACAUGCCCCAAGUUAUUCGUCAGUGAGGCGGAAAUUGUGGUGUACUUGUGUAAGUUCACAUUUUAUACUUUACCAUUAUACUGUGCUCCAAAUUAUCUGAUAUUUACUUUCAAAGCAUGUGUAGAAAGUUUACUAUGAUGAUGCAGAGACAUUGUACAGAAUCCAGUCCCUUGACUCUCAGGUCCCCAGAACACUCACUUCACGAUUUUGUUGACCUCUUCUGUCAACUUAAACCUGGCACUCUCUUGGCUGGCUUUCUCUGCUCUUUCUGGGCACUCCAAAGCUUCUGGUCCAGACCAACUAUGAAGAUAGGAUGCCCAUCCAGAAGAACGGGAAGCAUUUUCUUCCUCACCUUUGGAAAGUAAAACAAAAAAAAAAAGAAAAAUAAAAGAAAAAGUUUCUGUGGGUCAGGAGAUCAGAAAUGGUUCUAUUUCAAGGACUCUCACAGGGCUGCAAUCAAGAUGUUGGGGCUGAGCUGCAACAUCGUAUUUAUAACAGGAAGAAGUCUCUCUCUUUCACUACCUGGUUUCAAGAAAAUGAACUGCAGCGGAAGGAAUUCAGUUAACUACAGCAGCUGCAUGUGAAGCAUUUCAAAGGAG